UACGAAGGGUGCAAGCGUUACUCGGAAUUACUGGGCGUAAAGGGUGCGUAGGUGGUCGUUUUAAGUCCGUUGUGAAAUCCCUGGGCUCAACCUGGGAAUGGCAGUGGAUACUGGACGGCUAGAAUGCGGUAGAGGGUAGUGGAAUUCCUGGUGUAGCGGUGAAAUGCGCAGAUAUCAGGAGGAACACCAAUUGCGAAGGCAGCUCGCUGGGACGUUACUGACGCUGAUGCGCGAAAAGCGUGGGGAGCAAACAGG
rnacentral:rRNA from 1 species